GUUCUCAACUUCUUUCCUUAUACUGUUUUUUUUUCCUAAUACUGACCAUGGAGUUUCGAGAGUGUUAUGGGAGAUGAAUAUUCACGUCCUAUCUCUGCUGCGAGCUGACAUUCGCGUCGAUUCGUCUGUCUUUCUUCUCGCCGACAAAGGGAAACCGGAACCGUUACGGGGUACAUUCAAUCGUUGUCAUUACAAACUUCUUAAUUCCUUUUCUCCACUCCUUCCACGAUUCCUCAUUCACUGCAUCCGUUACUAUCUCCUGUUCUCUGAAUAUGUAGCUAUAAAUAGAUUAGAAUCGAAAACUCUGUUCUUCUCCUCGCUGCUUGAAGGUCGAGCAAUGUAACACCACCGUAGGAGUUUGUCAGUGUGGAAAAGCUUCUCCUUUUAAGAUUUUAUUCUUCGUUCACUUCCAUUUUAUAUUAAUGGGUUCUUGAUUUAGUUUCCGUGUUCAAUUGUUUCUCUGCAAAUAUGAUCUUUUUACAGUUUAUUAAUGAUGGUUCUCAGAAAAGGAAUGAACUUUGUGAGAAUCUUCAGAUAAGAGAAAUGGUCUCUACUACCUUCAUCUUUAGAGUGAUCAAUCAUCAUCAGCAGCAGCACAUAAGGGAGAAAGAGAGAUACUUAGCAAAGUGCACGGUGGGAGCUUUACCUACACCUUCAACGAACUCAUACUUGCAACCAGAAACUUCAGAACAGAAUGUGUUGUCCGAGAAGGUAGUUUUGUUCUGACUAGAGGAUUGAUCGAUGAGACUACUCUAAAUCCAGCAUUAAUAUUGUAGUUGUUGUCAAGCGUCUUAACUCUGAUGGAUUUCAUGGUCACCAAGAAUGGCUGAGAUCAACUACUUGGGGCAAUUAAGUCACGCAAACUUAGUUAAACUGAUUGGUUGUCGUUUGGAAGAUCAACAAUGGCUUCUUCUGUCCGAGUUUAUGCAUAAGGUUAAUCUUGAGGAUCAUCUGUGUACAAGUGAGUUUAUAAAUCAAGAAAUUAAUGAAACUGUCAGGCGAUUAUUCUUAUGUUUCAAUGGUGUUGAAGCAGAUUAUGUGCAUUUCUUCAUAGCUAUAA